GCAUCACUUGGGGUUGUUGGUGAGCAGUGAUUCAUUAACUCAGUCCGAAUCAUCUUUCUCAAUGCUAGUUGGCUCGAGAUUGGCUCAAGUGGAUAUAGAUCUAGGUUGGGUGGAGGGCCCAAUAAUCUUGGACAUGCCUAUGAUGGAGGUGGGCUCCGGCUUGGCCCAUCUUAAGCGGGCUUGAAGCCGGAGUAAUGGAAAAGGCUUAGUCGCAAAUCGGCGCCUAGCCCAGACUUGGACCGCAGGCCUGUGGCCUGCCUGAUGACUAAGGAUGGACACAACCCAUC
rnacentral:lncRNA from 1 species